UACGUAUGGGGCAAGCGUUAUCCGGAUUCAUUGGGCGUAAAGAGCGCGUAGGCGGCUUGUUAAGUUAGAUGUGAAAUCCGGGGGCUUAACCCGCGGCUUGCAUCUAAAACUGGCAGGCUUGAGUCUGGUAGAGGAAAGUGGAAUUCCCAGUGUAGCGGUGAAAUGCGCAGAUAUUGGGAGGAACACCAGUGGCGAAGGCGGCUUUCUGGGCCACGACUGACGCUGAGGCGCGAAAGCUAGGGGAGCAAACAGG
rnacentral:rRNA from 1 species